rnacentral:misc_RNA from 1 species
GAUGAAGAACGCAGCGAAAUGCGAUAAGUAGUGUGAAUUGCAGAAUUCAGUGAAUCAUCGAAUCUUUGAACCCACAUUGCGCCCCUUGGUAUUCCAUGGGGCAUGCCUGUUCGAGCGUCAUUUGUACCUUCAAGCUCUGCUUGGUGUUGGGUGUUUGUCUCGCCUCUGCGUGUAGACUCGCCUUAAAACAAUUGGCAGCCGGCGUAUUGAUUUCGGAGCGCAGUACAUCUCGCGCUUUGCACUCAUAACGACGACGUCCAAAAGUACAUUUUUACACUCUUGACCUCGGAUCAGGUAGGGAUACCCGCUGAACUUAAGCAUAUCAAUAAGCGGAGGA